GACAGAGGGUGCAAACGUUGUUCGGAUUUACUGGGCGUAAAGCGCGUGUAGGCGGCUUUGCAAGUCGGAUGUGAAAGCCCACGGCUCAACCGUGGAAGUGCAUCCGAAACUGCAUGACUCGAGUCUCGGAGAGGAAGGUGGAAUGCUUGGUGUAGAGGUGAAAUUCGUAGAUAUCAAGCAGAACACCUGCGGCGAAGGCGGCCUUCUGGACGAUGACUGACGCUGAGACGCGAAAGCGUGGGGAGCAAACAGG
rnacentral:rRNA from 1 species